CUUGUAUUUUCCGCCUAUAUACCGCCGUCGUCAGCUUACUCUGUGAGGAGCUCGUAGUAUGCACAAUUGGCUUAGCCCAAAACGCCAGGUCGAGGUGUAGCGUAUGGAAAGGGAAGAAAUGGGCUACAUUCAUAGCUAUAAUGAAUACGAAUGAUAUCAUGAAAAAAAUAUCUGAAGGAGGAUUUAGCAGUAAGCAGAGAAUAGAGUGCUCUGCUGAAGCUGGCCCUGAAGCGCGUACACACCGCCCGUCACUCUCCCCGAAAACAAAUCAACACAUCACUAAUCAACCAAAGCCAUAGAGGGGAGGCAAGUCGUAACAUGGUAAGCGUACCGGAAGGUGCGCUUGGAAAAAC
rnacentral:rRNA from 1 species